rnacentral:rRNA from 1 species
AUUGAACGCUGGCGGCAGGCCUAACACAUGCAAGUCGAGUGAGCGGCGGACGGGUGAGUAAUGUCUGGGAAACUGCCUGAUGGAGGGGGAAAACUACUGGAAACGGUAGCUACUACCGCAUACCAUCAGAUGUGCCCAGAUGGGAUUAGCUAGUAGGGGGGGUAACGGCUCACCUAGGCGACGAUCCCUAGCGGGUCUGAGAGGAUGACCAGCCACACGGGAACUAAGACACGGUCCAGACUCGUACGGGAGGCAGCAGUGGGGAAUAUUGCACAAUGGGCGCAAGCCUGAUGCAGCCAUGCCGCGUGUGUGAAGAAGGCCUUCGGGUUGUAAAGUACUUUCAGCGGGGAGGCGUUACCCGCAGAAGAAGCACCGGCUAACUCCGUGCCAGCAGCCGCGGUAAUUC